GUGGGUGUAGCUCAGCUAGGCAGAGCACUUGGUUGUGGCCCAAGUGGCCGCCGGUUCAAAUCCGGUCACCCACC
rnacentral:tRNA from 1 species